GUGACAUCAAACCUCUUUCUCGCAUUUCUUCUAUUCCUCUCUCUCUCUCUUUCUCCUUCUGCAUACGGUUACAGGCUAUCAAUCGUAAUUUGAAUCCUCUGAAGCAGAUCCCAUAUUCAACAUGCUUCGUUUUCUGGUUUUCUCCGAUCUAUCAAUGGAUUCCGAUUCUCAGUUUCCCCGCGGGAACCGAUUCUCUCAUCGAAGUUCGUUUCUGAGCUGCAUUCAUGCGCCAACCUUGCUUGCUUGAUUCGCUACUCGCAGCUUCGGUGUAUCGUGGAUUCCGCUUUCAUGGAACGAGUUGCCGGGAUUUUAGUCUCCGCCUACACCGGCGAGGUGUUUUCAUCUCCUGAAUCCGUUUGGUUGCCGAGAAGCUGCGAGAAAAUAAAGGGAAACUGCAAAGCGCUUGCCUCAGUUUUACUCUAACGCAAUUUAUCUGGAGUACAAUGUGGUUCUUAAUUAUUAUUGGCGGGUGCUCUCAAGUUUGCCACGGAUGGUACAACAUUCUUCACUUUGUUGGUUUUCUCUUCAUGCCUGAAGCGACCAUUUGGAUCUGAAUGAUUCAAUUUUAUUGGAUUUAGGAAAGCAUCAAAAUUAAAAUGAGUCCAUUUUUCUUGAUAGCAAUCAAGAAGCACUUAUCUCCUGUAAAUGCGUCAGUGCAAUUGCAAUCUGCUGCAAUCAAAACAAAUCUGAUGUCAAUGCAUUUGCAUCAUGAUCAAUGGUCUACCAACUAAAUGAUCAAAGAUCAUACCCUAAUUUUGUAGUUCCUGAAGGUGACUCGUAAUGUUGUUGCUGUGGCUGGCUUAGUUGGAGAUUCACAGGACUAUUGGACUAGCUCUAAUUAAGAAGUGUGAUGGAUGUCUUACAAGAUGCUUUGCUUUGAAGGUAAUUUUUUUUUUGGGUAAACAGAAUGUAAUUUUUAAAGCUAUGGUUGUAAGAUCCCUGGAUCUUUAUUUUUGUCCUUACGGUGGGCAAAGGGAUUUUGAUGCAGCCAUGUGCACUGAUGGUGCAAUUCAUUAUAAUGCCAGCAUGAAGGGGUGAUUUUUGCAUUUGUUGCAUAAGUUGAAGGGAAUAUAGGGAAGAAAUAUUAGUGCUGAGCCACGUGAUGAUUGGUUGUUGGUGGAGCUGUUGGCAUUACUACACAAACAUAUUAACAGGUUUCAAAUUCUCAAUGCUUCAGUCCCUUCUUUCAAAUAAUGAAGGUGACUGAUGUGAGAAUUAGGAUUGAUAUGUGGCUGUUGUAUGAUGUGAGCAGUGGAAAACAAGCACAUUUAAAGAUCUGGAGUGAUGAGUAAUCCGGAAGUGUGUGAAAUAGUUUGGUAGAAGGAACGGAGUUUGGGAUAAAUAACAGUAAGAAAGGCCCCCCUCCAAAAUUUUAAAGAGAGAAGCUUGGCUGGUGAAUUAUAAAAUAUUAUUUCCUUAUAAUGUCGCCUAGAUAAAGCUAAAAUCAAUUAUUUGUAUUAAUGGUACGUACAAGCUUAAGGCAUGUAACUCUUGCAACUCAAAAGUGUACAUCGACAUAAUGUGUAUUACUAAGGAUAAUGAACAGUUUCUUAUUAGCCAUAAGGAAAUGUUUGGAUUCGUAAACGAAGUAAAGAACCAUGAAUUUUUCCUGGGUUGAGUCAUUUGAAGGUUAUAUAUAACGC